rnacentral:lncRNA from 10 species
CGGAGCACCUAAAACCAAACGCCUCAGUGCAAAUGGAUGGAAGGGCGUCAGCUGUGGAAACUGGAGCUAUUGCGAGCAGCUUGGGUUGCUAGGGAACAGCCCUGAGAACGUUUUGUCUUCAGGCUGCAGAUCCUGGAUCCUCCUGGGAUUUCCAGUUCUAGAGCCACUGCCAGCCAGUGGUGCCAGCAUCAGCAGGCGAUGGGGCUAGGAAAUCUGUGCAGUCCCAGGAGGCUGUGGGCCAGGCAGAGGGGCCCCAGGCUGCCUCUGAGAUUGAGUGUGCAUUAGGGGAUAGGUUUGGGGAGCAGCCCAUGCUGGUGAUUUUCUUUAAACAAAAAUGCUGGUGCCCAGCUUGGUACAGAAAGCCUGGGAGACAGGGGUUUCAACUUCCUGAUAACAGUGCUCCAAUUCGGAGCCCAGAUCUGGUGCUGAUGGAACACUUGCCAAUGGCCCGGUUCAGUGCUGAAUAGGAAGAAGAGCUGGCCAACUUGAGUUAUUACAUCUCUGCCACUCAAGGUGAUGUCAGAACAUGUUCCUUGGACCCAUUCAAGCCUGCUGUGGCACACUGAGAAGAGUUUGUGCCUGGACCAGAGGAAAACACAGAGGAGAGGGACACACAACCCCUUGAUUAUUUGAUUCCUCUCCUUGAAUGGAGGAGACAGAGUUCUCAAAGGACCAGAGGCAGCAGUAUUCCAAAGGGCAGAGCUAAGGUCAAGUACAGAGAAGGAAGGGGACAUUCAAGGCAAGAAGGCAGAGGGUCACAAAUGGAAGAAAGCAGCAACUGGCUGAGAAGUGGGGACUAGGAAGCAAGAGGAAAAAGACUUCAACCUGGAGGCUGGCGAGCCCUGCCAAAGAGCCUGAACCUGUUCUGACUGCUGCCUCUUCCCUGAAGCUAGGCAAGAUUUUCAGGUGUAAAUGCCCAGGGCCUGGUUGCACCCCAGUUUGGCUCUGCUAAAGGUGAAGGCUGGCUCACUUAUGUCUGAGACAUUGGUCUGAGCCCACAUGGCCACAGCAUGAGAAGAGUGGUCCAUGUGGGCUGGGAAGCCCUAUGUGUCCUGGAUCUCUGAAUGUUUUGUAAAACUCUGUUAUUUUUGAUAAAAAUAACAUGUUCAAUGUGUGUUCAUCUGUGUACCUCUAUAAGACUUUUCCUACAAAUGUAUUUAGAACCAUUUUCUAAAAUAGUCUUUGUCAGACUACAUAUGCCUUUUGUUACUGCUGUUUGGGUUUGCCUGAUGGGUGAAGACUUUAACAUUCAUUCAAACCCCAAAAGGAGGAGGCAUAGGCAUCUUGGCACAGGAUCCCAUCCUAUAAAAACCCUAAGAGUUGGGGUAGUUAUUAUUUUCCCCCUUUAACAAAUGAGGAAACAGAAGCUCAGAGCAUUUACAGCUCUCUGUAAGGUCACACAGCUAAUAGGUGGUAGAAAUAGCGUCAAGCCUGGGCCUAGGAGAGCCCAACAAUUAUGUAUUUGCCCUGACAUAAAAUCGCCUCGACGAGAAACCUACAGAGCAUUUCCACAGGCUUCCCCAACCCCUGAGCACAGGAAGUAGAAUUCCUUUAGCUUUUCUUUUUCUUGCUUUCUUGUCUUUGUUCUGCAGCCAUUUUCUUCUCACAAAGUGUGUUUCCCAGCACAAAAAAGCCUGGCUUUCCAGGAGCGGCACCCACUUUCUGAAGAGUUUACUUGCAUUGGGCGUCGGAGUUUAGGAUAACUCCAUUCAAGGCAGAUUUCUCUCCCAGAGAAAGCAACCUGAUGAAUCAGAAGGGAUGUUGUGGCAAAUGCUAUCAGAUGCCCCGCCACCCCGCUUCAGCAGAGGAGGAAGCUUCUGCUCUAGUCCGCACCAUCCUGCAAUCAAUCAGGACAACCUGUGCGAACGCAAAGGCGAGUCCAGAUGAUACCGUUUGAACUGAAAGGAGAGCUCAGGAUUCUGGAGAGGUAAGAGGCACCCAACUGACAGCCUGAUGUUAAUUCGAGACCUCCAUCCACUGGGCAAAAGGAGAGCUUGAACAUGGAGUCACUCAUCCUUGGCUGGAGAUGUUGAAGGAGUUGUGAAAUGAGAGAGAAAGGAAGACACUGAGUAUCACGAUGCAGGCCCAUGAAUUCUCUUUCCUCCGAACCCUGGCUGCUGGCCCAGUGCCAGGUAGAGAGCAGGUCCCUGAAAAAUUUUGAGGGAUGAAUGGAGAUGAGCCAACCUAUUCUAGAUUUCUAAAAUGACAUGAGGGCAACACUUAAACAGCUAUGUCAGAUGUUGUUCCUGAGCAAUCACACAGCAAUUAAAGGAAU